rnacentral:lncRNA from 1 species
AAAUACACCCUCACAGAGAUGCUCAGGGAUGCUCACUGAAGUUUCAUCUGAGGCAGGGAGUCACAAGAAAGCAGAGAAGGAUGACCCCUGCCAAAACCAUGUUAGAGCAAAGGUGGCAGGGUCUCCCUUCCCUUGAAAUAACUCAAAUGCUGGACAGAGGACAGAAAGCAUGGUUUUCAAAUGCUAAUCAUGAAACAAGGCAAGACUGUGACAGAGAAUCAAAGAAAGCCUCCAGUGCCUCGUGUAACAGCUUAAGAGUUGCCAGCAAUGGUGCCAGCCGAGGAGCCCAGGCAGACUCAAAGAACUUCCCUGGGUUUAAGAGACAUGCUUGUGCUCAAGGGACCAAACUAAAUGUAUACAGGUUUGAUUUUUGUCAAUUAUGCUUCAAUAUAACUAUAAAAACUGGGGUAAAAGCACACUGUAAAAUACUGUCAAUCAGAAGUAACAAAGCUGUAUCUAAUACAUAACUCUAAGUGAGUAAAGAAUCAAUAUUGUCCAACC